CGGGGUGCAGCAGGCGCGAAAACUUUACAAUGCUGGAAACAGCGAUAAGGGGACCUCGAGUUCCAGGUUACAAAUCUGGCCGUCAUGAUGCCUAAAAAGCAUUGCAUAGCAAGGGCCGGGCAAGACCGGUGCCAGCCGCCGCGGUAACACUGGCGGCUGGAGUCGUAACCGUUAUUAUUGGGUGUAAAGGGUCUGUAACCGGCCGGAUAAGUCUCUCGGGAAAUCCAGCAGCUCAAAUGGAGGGUCUUCCGGAGCUACGGUGUGCCUCGAACCUGGCAGAGCUUAGAGUUUCAUCAGGUGUAGGGCAGAUAUCUCAUAAUCCGCGAAGGGACUAUCCCGAGGCGAAGGUGCUAUCACCAGAACGGACCUGAUAGGCAAGGGAAGAAAGGACGGCGCACGAACCGGAUUAGAUACCCGGGUAGUCGUACGCCGUAUACACGAUCACCUCCCUAGGUGUCGAACACGGUGCCACCUUAGUAAAUGCAGUAGGGAAACAGUGAAACGAGCCUCCUGGGAAGUACGGCCGCAAGGCUGAAACUUAAAGGAAUCGGCGGGCGACCACAAGGGCGAAUCGCG
rnacentral:rRNA from 1 species